CCUACGGGAGGCAGCAGUGAGGAAUAUUGGUCAAUGGGCGCGAGCCUGAACCAGCCAAGUCGCGUGAGGGAAGACGGUCCUAUGGAUUGUAAACCUCUUUUGUCGGGGAGCAAAAGCCGCCACGCGUGGCGUUCCGAGAGUACCCGAAGAAAAAGCAUCGGCUAACUCCGUACCAGCCGCCGCGGUAAUACGGGGGAUGCGAGCGUUAUCCGGAUUUAUUGGGUUAAAAGGGUGCGCAGGCGGAAGAUCAAGUCAGCGGUAAAAUUGAGAGGCUCAACCUCUUCGAGCCGUUGAAACUGGUUUUCUUGAGUGAGUGAGAGGUAUGCGGAAUGCGUGGUGUAGCGGUGAAAUGCAUAGAUAUCACGCAGAACUCCGAUUGCGAAGGCAGCAUACCGGCGCUCAACUGACGCUGAUGCACGAAAGUGUGGGUAUCGAACAGGAUUAGAUACCCUUGUAGUC
rnacentral:rRNA from 1 species